GUGCUCUCUUCAGCAGCACAUAUACUAAAAUCAGAACAAUACAGAGAAGAUUACCAUGGCUCUGGCACAAGGAUGACAAAUUUGUGAAGCAUUCCACAUUUUU